rnacentral:rRNA from 1 species
UACGGGGGGGGCAAGCGUUGUUCGGAAUUACUGGGCGUAAAGGGCGCGUAGGCGGUCAGACCAAGUCGAGUGUGAAAUUCCAGGGCUUAACUCUGGCACGCUCGCUCGAUACUGGUCGGCUAGAGUGUGGAAGAGGAUGCUGGAAUUCCUGGUGUAGCGGUGAAAUGCGCAGAUAUCAGGAAGAACACCCGUGGCGAAGGCGGCUCUCUGGGACGGUACUGACGCUGAGACGCGAAAGCGUGGGGAGCGAACAGG